rnacentral:lncRNA from 1 species
CUCACACAUGAGAUCAUCACACUGGUGCCCCGCCGUAUGUUAUUAAAUUGUCCCCGUUCACAGCAUAUUCCAGAAAACACUUUCAGCUAGAGUGCUAACACUUGCAGUUAGGGAGUAGGUCAGAGUGACAAGAGUCCAAGAAGACAGCUGAGUCAUCCUGGGUGGAAUAUAUAAAGUCCCUGUGCUGCACUAGGACAGAGGUAACGCUUCCUCUGAGCUCCCAACCUCUUCAACAAACAUCAAAAGGUAGGACUGAAAUGGAGAGUGGGAACACUCAUUUACAGCAGACCAAAACUCAUCCGCUCCAGCUAAAGUCUUCAGGGAAUAGUUUUAUGGCUAAAGCAAAAAAAAGGUCAUACCAAGAGCCAAAUUAAUUAAAAUGAAGAGAGAACUUUUGAAAAGAAAUAAUGAAUAAGCUUUUGGAUUAUUUGAUAAUCAAAUUAACGAAGAGGAGUAAAUUAUAUCAACACACUGAAAAAAGAUAUCAAUUUCUUGCUGACUUGACAAGAAAUACCAACAUUGAUUAAGAUAACAUAAAAUUCAUAAUAUGCUACUACAGACGGGGCAUUGUUAGCAAACUGGGUGAGGGUUGUAAAUGCAAGAGUAUUUGAAAUUCGUCACUGCUUGAGUAAAAUGGAAAUGCCCAGAAAUCUUACCAUUUGUCAUAUAAAGAAGUAACCAAAAGAGCCAAGAACAUACAAUGGGGAAAGGACAGUCUCUUCAAUAUAUCGUCUUGGGAAAACUGGACAGCCAUGUGCAAAAGAAUGAAACUGGACCACUAUCUUACACCACACACAAAAAUUAACUCAAAAUGGAUUAAAACUUGAAUGUAAGACCUAAAACCAUAAAAUUCCUAGAAGGAAACAUAGGCUCCUUGACAUCAGUCUUGGCAACGAUUUUUGGGAUCUGACUCCAAAAGCAAAGGCAAUAAAAGCAAAAUAAAGUAGGAAUACAUCAAACUAAAAAUCUUCUACACAGCAGAGGAGAUCACCAACAAAAUAAAAAGGUAAUCUACUGAAUGGGAGAAAAUAUUGGCAAGUCAAAUCUCUCAUAAGGGAUUAAUAUUCAAAAUAUAUAAAGAACUCAUACAACUCAAUAGCAAAAAAACAAUCCAAUUAAAAAAUGGGCAGAGGAUCUGAAUAGACAUUUUUCCAAGGAAGAAAUAUAGGUGGCCAACAGGUACAUGAAAAGAUGCUCAACAUCACUAAUCAUCAGGGAAAUGAAAAUCAAAACCACGGUGAAAUAUCACCUCACACUGGUUAGAAUGGCUAUUAUCAAAAAGACGAAAAAUAACAAGUUUUGGGAGGAUGUGGAGAAAAGGGAAUCCUUGUGCACUGCUAAUGGGAAUAUAAAUUGGUGCAGUCAAUAUGGAAAACAUAAUGGGGGCUUCUCAAAAAGUUAAAAAUAGAACUACCAUAUGAUCUAGAAAUUCCACUUCUGGGUAUUUGAAGAAAACAAAACACUAACUUGAAAAACUGUAUGCACCCCCAUGUUCAUUGCAGCAUUAUUUACAGUAGCCAAGAUAUGGAAGCAACUUAACUGUCCAUUGGUGGAUGAAUGGAUAAAGAAUGGAUAAAGAAGAUGUGGUAUAUAUAUAUAUAUAAUGGAAUAUUAUUCAGCCAUAAAAAAGAGUGAAAUCUUGCCAUUUGAAACAAUAUGGAUGGACCUUGAGGGCGUUAUGCUAAGUGAACUAAGUCAGACAGAGAAAGAACAAACACUGUAUGAUCUCACUUAUAUGUGGAACUUAAAAGACAAAACAAAACAAAAACCAAGCUCAUAGAAACAGAGAACAGAUUGGUGGUUGCCAGGGGUUGAAGGGUGAAAUGAGUGAAAGGAGUCAAAAGGUACAAACUUACAAUCAUAAAAUAAAAAGUCAUGGGCCUGUAAUGUACAGCAUGGUGACUAUAAUUAAUAAUACUGUAUUGCAGGUUUGAAAGUUGCUAAGAGAAUAAAUCUCAAAAGUCUUCAACACAAGAAAAAGAAUUUUAGUAACUGUAUGGUGCUGAUGUUAACUAGACUUAUUAUGGUGAUCAUUUCACAAUAUAUAUAAAUAUCAAAUAAUUAUUUUGUACACCUAAAACUAAUAUAAUGUGAUAAGUGAAUUAUACCUCAAUUUUUUUAAAAAAAGUAAUUAAGUGUAUGUAGCCAAAAAUGGUAUGAAAGUAUUAUUAUAGAGUUGCAUCAGGCAGUUAACGAAUUUGAAAAGUUAUAUUAUUUUGUGGAUUUUGUGAUGCCAGGGGAAUAUGUCAGGUUUUGGGGGUUAUUUUCUUUUUCCUUUUGCUGAGAAAGAUUAGCCCUGAGCCAACAUCUGUUGUCAAUCUUCCUCUUUUUUUGCUUGAGGAAGAUCAGCCCUGAGCUAACAUCUAUGCCAGUCUUCCUCUAUUUUAUGUGUGGGUUGCCACCACAGCAUGGCUGAGGAGUGGUGUAGGUCUGCGCCAGGGAUCCCAAGCUGUGAACCUGGACUGCUGAAGCAGAGCGCUCUGAACUUAACCACUAGGGCAUUGGGCCAGCUCCUAUGUCAGCUUUUUAAAAUGUGUAAUUUGUUGUGAUUUUCUUUCCUCAAUUGAAAUAAAUAUUCAUUUUAUAGCUAAUUCUGUAUUUGUAAUUUUCAUUAUUGUUUAAAAAUAAGAACUCCCAAAUUGUACAAGUUUCAAGCCCACAAAAUCUGGAUCUGUCCCUGGGUAAGGGAGAUAUGAAGGAUCAAAGGGAAGAAAUUCAGGGGUCUCCAUUCUGAGGGGCCUCAGUUGCCAGCUGACUUCUCCUCACAGCUGCUGAUGUGGCUUCCAUAGCCUGAGAGACCAGUGGAGUGCUGUGGACCUUUCACAGGUUCCCCACCUUUUCUCCCUUAUUUACUAGCACUAUUCAUGUGGUUACAGCAAUGGCUGUCUGCCACAACACUGAAUCGAGGAUGCUCUAUAGUAUGAAAUAGCUGUACAGGUGGCUUCAGGUAAAAGGUAAGCAGAGUGAUCAGUGCCAAAGUCAAAUGUGAGGAUAUUGCCUCUUGACACAUAAAAGAGCAUGCACGAGGCAGCAUAACGUAACGCCAAGGUGUUAGGAAAUAGGUAUUAACCAGAGGCAACUGCAGAAUUUCUAGGUAGGUUGGUUAUCUGUGUGAAAGGUGAAGAUAAGAGACAUAUAAACUGAGUUUGCAUAGCUAGCUCCAGCCUUUAUUUAAACUGUAUGUUACCUGGGGUGGCUCGCAGCAAGGGGCAUGCCAAUGAAGACUGUGUGGGCCAUGGGGUGGGUAAUGCACCUCUUUGCCCAUGCCGUCACGGGGGUCUGCCCUGACCCCUUGGCGUCUUGCAGCAAAAUAUCAGCUAGAGGCUGUAUUUGCUGCGGAAUUAUUUAGCUUGUUUUGUUUCAUCAAUCUCUUAAAACGGGCCACCAAACAUUUAAGAAUGUUGAAGUGCGUAUGAAUACAAAAGGUUGAGAACCACAAAACUAUAAGGGAACUCUUCUGAGUUCAGAUGUAAACUCUAACUUUGGAACAAUUAACCCCAGAGAAGCCUUCAGUCCACUCAAGGUUCUCUGUUCUCUAGUAAAUGAUGGACUUGACGAGAUCCUUCAACACAAAUUCCCUCAUCAUACAACUUGUGGGUCCAGGCAUGGUGCCUCCCACUGGGCACGUAAAGAACAGCAGGCAGGUACUUGAGCUUUUUAUCAGAGCUCAUUAAGCAGGAGGUGAGCACCUGUAUUGUGUGCACUAUGUGGUAAGUGCUUUGGGAAAGACAAGGCUGACAGGAAUCUAACUACGCUGACUCUGUUCUGGAAAGAACUGGAAGGAAAAGAGCUUUUGUUUUUUAUGGAAGUCAAAUCACUGCCUAAGAGAAAAGGAAUGGAAGGAAGAAAUUAUCCCAUGGUGAGAAUGGAGGUUAAUUGCUUAUUUCUUCCUCUGGGAUGCCUUUGCAAAGCAUGUAAUUCUUUUAUCUUCAGGGCCCUGACAUGUUUUAAUUAAUUUAUACUAACAUCCUAGUGUUUUAAUAUAUUUUUUCUUAUGAUAGAAAAAAAAUAUGCUUUAUAAGUGGCUUGGAGCCAUAGUGGGAACAAAAACGGAGAAUGGUGGAAAGGAUGUUAUGGCAGCUGCACACUUACUUGUCUCACUUCCUGAUUUUGCUGAAAAUCAGCUAAGAUUGCAUCCUUUCACCUUUACUCCAUUUUUUAAAAAAUCUGUUCCAUUUAAAAAUAAUCUUUAAAUAAGCAAUCCUACACUUUUAUUUAUUCAGACAAAAUCCUCAAAAGUUAUUUUUGAAAACCGAUUAAGGUUUAAGCUCCUACUUUUAAGAGACGAGCAUUUUUGCCAUGAGUUUCAAGGAGAGCUUAGAAACCUCCUUGAUAUUUGUAAAUCUCAGGGAGAUUGUCACAGUAGGAGCCAAACCAUAUCUUGGUUCGCAUAUAAUUUUCUGCACAGCUAAUAAGCUGGAACAGUUAAGAACUAAUCAUCGCGGCAUGGCUGUACCUGCUUUUCGAAGCUUGGCAGAAGAUAGCUGCAGCUUAAAGUACCAGAGGAGAGAAGAUGUAGUAUUAUUCCCUUUUAGAGAACAGGGACCAUUGAAGGAAAGAAUUAGAUAACUGUGUUUUCUGAAUUAUUUAUCUGGUGUCACAGAUGUCACAAGGCUUUUGGGGACGUUUUUGGUCAUUACUUAACGUGAGUGUUAAGAUGCACAGUCUAAAGGCUUUCCUAAUAAAAUUUAAGUCAUUCACUCUCCCUUCAAGGUUGGAAGAGGAGGGAACUUUUCUUGCUGCCAUUGCGUUCCACAGACGUGGGAAGUACAGCCAAGCAAAGAACCCGCAGAAGGAAAAAAGCUAGGCAUUUGCGAAGAAGUGGGGCCUGCGUUCCAUAUGGCUCGCCGGGGUGCAGAGCAGAUGGCCUGGGCAGCGUGCUCUAAGAGCCGACAGGAGCCAGCAGGCAGCCACUGAGCGUGCCCACCGAAGCCUGCCAUGUGAAAAGGCUUUCCAUCAGUUAGGGCAAGGAAAAGUGAUGAUUUUUAUGUUUAUGAUUCUCUGCUUUAUGCAUUUCUGGAGUGAAAUAAAAUGGCAGGAGGACAGGUGUGAGGAUAAGGUAGAAUAAUCUUUCGAUACGUCUACUGGUGCCGGAAGCCCAAGAAAACAGCUCUGGUUGCUAACGGAGGAGCCUAACGUGUCCCCAGUGAAAGCUGACUUUUGUGUAGUGCUUUAUGUGCCAGGCUUUUAAAAUGUCACAACCUUACUGGGUAGGUUUUAGUUUUGUUCCCAAUUUAAAAUGAGGAAAUGAGGCCCAAAGAGAGAUGCUUGAUCAAUGGUCCUCAGUGAGGCGGAGAGCCAUUCCUGACCUCAGUGUUCACGCAUAGCCGUGACUUCAGGCUACUUCUCCGGGAGAUGUGGACUUGCUGAAGAGCAGGUCCCCUUCUCUGUUAUACAUAUAGAGGGAAGGACAGAAGUCAUUCAUUCAAUCAACAAACAUUUACUGCCUGUCUGCAAUGUGCCAGGUGCCAUCAAGACCAAGUGGAUAUUUGAGGUGUGAGGACUCAGAAGGAUUUACAACCCAGUGAUUCGCAAUAAAAAAAUUUUCCUCCUCUAGAGAAUUCACUUUCACACCCCUUCGAAGUUAAUAUUUUAACAAGAACAGUGCCAUCAUAGUGCUCUGCUCUGCGGUUUGCGAUGGCUUGCUGUGGCAUUCUGGUGCCCUCUCGGGCCUUGCCCUCCGUCCUCAGGGACAUGUGCCUUCUGCGCCCCUCAAACUGGGGCACAUCCUGCUCCUCCCAACACGCCCAACACCUGCCUUCUUCGGCUUCUCUGAUGAUUCUCUUCCAUCUGCCUGGAACAAAUCACCUCUCACCUCAAAAUCCGUCUUGUCCAACUUAAACACAAACUUCCUCCACAAAACUGUCUCAGGACUCUGCCCAUACGCCACACCCAGAAGCUCUGCCCUCCCUGGGGACGUGCAGGACGCCUCGUCCACACCUCUCGGGACAUUGGGUACAUUUUGUCUGCACUGUGAUCAUUUUGUACUGGUCUUACCAACCCUUCUUGCCUGGGAGCUUUUGGGGGGAAGUCCUUUAGUUCAUCCAUCUUUGUGUACCCCAGGAUCUAGCAAUGGGUUGAAUAGAUGGCUGAAUAGGUAAUUUUCCUUGAACACAGUUCUUCUGUAUAUUAAAUCCAGAACCCUGGUUUUUAACCCUGUGGUGAAAAACCAAAUCAUGCCAGAUCGUGAGAAAGAACGUCAUUAUCAAAGGCCAAUCAGAGAUGGAUAACUUUCUCCUGGAACAUUAUGAUAGACAGUUUCUGAAAAGCAGGUGCCACAAAUGGGGAAAUUUUCAGUCUUUUUAGCAAAAUGUAUUGAUUUUUUUCAGAAUGGCAGUGAUUUUCCGUUUAUCCAAGCCUUAUUGCUACAGCUGUUGCUUUUCCAACCUCUCAGCCUCCGUCAUGCCCUCCGAGUUCUGGCAUUCGUCACCUCUGUCCUGUUUUCUUGCAUCACUCCUCAGCUGGGCUCUCUGACUACUGACUGUCUACUAUCAACCACCUCCCUUCACGCUAGAACGUGGUAUUUCUAAAAUAUCACUCUGAAGAGGCAAGAGGCCAUAGCGGUUAAGAGGCCAGACUCUGCAGUCAAUGACACUCAGGUCUGUGUCUCUCUGUGGCCACCCACUAGCUCUGUGACUUUGGACAAAUUACUUCUCCAAGCCUCAUUUUUCUCUUCCACAGUAUUGAAGAAAACAACUCUACUGUCUCAUAGCAUUGUUGUGAAAACUUCUCAUGCAAAAUGCUCAAGUAGCAUGCCUGGCAUAAAGUCUCGACUACUGAAUGCUAUCAUUUUAAUGUCAUUCCUUUGCUUUAAAAAACGAAGAAGAAGAAAAAACUUUAAGUGGAUUCUAAUAGGUUGCAAUAUAAAAUAGCCGAGUCUUGGCUUGGAAUAUAAAAAUAUAAAAUCCUUCCUCUUCCAGCCUCGUUCUAUCCUUACAGCAUGAUUUCCCGCUCCUUCCUUUUAUGUAAGCCCUCCCUUCAGCCAUAAAGAAUUUUUCAAUGUUCCGUGUCAUUCGCUUUCACACCCAUGAAUAUAUUGGUCUCUCUGACUGAAAUUCUCCUGAGCCCACCUGUUAAACUCCUCCAUCCUUCAAGAAUCAAGUACAAGCUCCUUUGUGAAGUCUCCUUAUCACCCCAGACAGAGUUAAGUCCCCCAUUUUGCUCCCAAAGCAUGCUAUUCUUAUUUCUGUUACAGUAAGUUUCGUAUGGCAUUGCCAUUGUUUAUCUUUUUCUCAUUAAUUUAUAACCUCUUCUAAGAACGUGGCUUAUUAAUGUCUGGUUAGAUAACACUAGUAGAAGUGCCUGGCAUAGAGUAAACUUGCAUAAAUAUUUGCAAAAUGAAUUAACAAAUGAAUAAAUCCAGGAACCAAAGGAAUCAUUCUUUGUGGAAGAAAGAUAUGAAGUCAGCUACCAUGCCUUGGGCCCAACUAUUUCACUUAUAAAAUGAAAUGACAAAAUAUAUACAUGCACUUGAAUGCACAGAGAAAUAAACAGUAAAUAAUAAAGGAGACAAUUUCAUAUCAGGGAAUGGUUUUAGAAAAUAGUGCGCUUUCUGUGCUUGCUCAGCUCAUCUUCUAAAGCCUUUCUUCACAUCUACAGUAAGUUCUGGGCAGUCAAAGUUCAUGAUGGUGACCUGGAGCCCUUAUAAGUCAAAACCCAUUUUCUGGUUACCUUUCUAUUGAAAAGACAUUCAGUCUAUUACAAUAGUCCAAUUCUUGGUCCAUCAGAGCUUACUAUAAUAAGAAAGCCAAUAGGCGUUAUACUUCUGAGACUCAUAAAAGCAAAUAAUCCUAGACAAAGGAAAACCUUUAUGCCCAAAGAUUUACUUUGCGUUAUUGCAUUUAACAACAACAAAAAAUAACAAACAAGCUAAAUGUCUAAAAUAUAAUGAUGUUAAGUACACUACGGCACAUUUAUUCAGUGGAAUUCUGCUUUUUCGAAUCACGUUGUCAGUGUGCAUGUAGUAUAAUGGGAAAACACUUACAAUAUAUUAAUUUUUAAAAUCAAGGUAUAUAACUGCAAAUUGACAAGGAUCACAACCAUGUAAUAAAAAUAAUGUAUAGACAAAAUACUGUAAAAAAUACAUCAAAUAUUAAUAAUAUUUGGGUAGUAGAGCCGUAAUUUUCUUUUCAGUGAGAAAGAUUGUCCCUGAGCUAAUAUCUGUGCCAAGUUUCCCCUGUUUUGUAUGUGGGCUGCCACCACAGCAUGGCUUGGCGAGCGGUGUGUAGGUCUGCACCCAAGAUACGAACUUGCGAACCACAGGCUGCCAAAGCGAAGCUCACGAUCUCAACCACUAUGCCCCUGGGCUGGCCCCCCAUAAGUUUUUUUUUUUUUACUUUUUUAGUAAUUUUCAAAUGUUCUGUAAUGAAAUCUAUUUUUAUUUUAAAAAUAUCACUUAAUUUUUUUAACCUAAAAGCAUACUUUGAUGGAUUAACCCUGCCAACUCAAACCAUUAGGCCAAUUUAAUCCAAUGUACAUUAGAAGUCUUGAUGACUCACUCAGCCUUCUUAAAAAGUUGCUCUACCAUAUUAGCUAAGCUUUUGUUUCCAUUCAGCAGGCUUCAACGGAGCACCUAUUGUGUGAAGUCUUUGUGUUAGGCACGGGGUUGGGAGAGAAAAGAUACAACGAUAAUACACACUGUCUCACAGUGGGCACUUCGCACUCCAGGUAUUCCCCAGGAAACCGUGAAGAGGAAACUGGGACAGUGGAUAUUCCUGACAACUAUUAGCCCUGAGCUAGCAUCUGUGCUCAUCUGCUAUUUUAUGUGUGGGAUGCCUGCCACAGCAUGGUUUGGAUUGAUUCAGGAAGUAAAACGAGGCAAUAGAAAAGCAAAGACUGACUCUCACAACUAGCCCUUCUUUCCAGUAACUGAGAUCCUUCCUUCAGAGAUAUUCCUUUUAAUUCCAAACUGUGAACAUUGCAGCAGCUGGAGAAAGCAAGAGUGCUUAAAAGACUUGUCAGAGAUUAAAUAAAGGAUAUAGGUGGGGGCUGGCCCCGUGGCCGAGUGGUUAAGUUUGCGUGCUCCGCUGCAGGCGGCCCAGUGUUUCGUUGGUUCGAGUCCUGGGCGCAGACGUGACACUGCUCAUCAAACCACGCUGGGGCGGCGUCCCACAUGCCACAACUGGAAGCACCCACAGCGGAGAAUAUACAACUAUGUACCGGGGGGGGGCUUUGGGGAGAAAAAGGAAAAAAUAAAAUCUUUAAAAAAAUAAAAUAAAAAAUAAAGGAUAUAGGUGGCAAUCUCAUACAGGAAAGAGAACAAGCUUAUUUUAAGUGAAUAUUUCCAAAAGUUCAGUUAUUGUUUUAGCACCUUUGCUAGUACAUACUAUUUCCAUCAACAAGUAUGCCAAAAUUAGCAAGAGCCAAGACUGACAAAUUUCUUUGGCUUUCUCUAGUACCUAUUUUCUAUACUUCCAUUAUCCCAACUCUGAAUUUGGUCUGAAAAUACAUUACAAUUAAUGUCUAACACAAUACAGCUUAUGAUGUGGUUAUAGAUUCCUCAGGGAACAGAAUUAAACCAUCAAACCCAUUUUCGAAGUCUAGGGUGAAAGGUUAAUGGAUUUACUAAAAUGCUAAACAAAGUCAAAGUGGUACCCCUUGGAGAGAGAGAUCAGGAAAAGCAUCAAAUGCUUAUCUGGACAAAUUUUUUCUCCAUUCUGAAAAUAUUCUAAAUAAUGUUAAAGGAACUGCAGAAAAACGAUUGAGGCUAAACAAUUAAAUAAGGAUGAGUCCUUUGUUACUGCCCCCCACUGAGGAUUUCCUAGCAAGUUUGAGUUUUUAUCUUGUUUCUUAGAAGACGUGGAACAGUAGGUCAAUAGCAAGUGUUACCUACAUUUAGCAGAUGGUAGAGAUGAGGCUGCAGAAAACAUGAUAUGCUUAGCUUCUCACCUCAGUGGUAGGAAGAGUGGAUAAUGUGCAGAACCUGGGAAUCCAACUGCAUUCCUCAUGACCUGGACUAUCCUUUCUCUCUCAGAAUUAAAAAUGUAAUAUUGAGGGGGAUACAUAAAAGUUAUAUUCCUUCAGAAAAUGUGGGCUCAAUUAUAGUUGGUGUAGUAGGUUACAUUAUUGUUUAGAAAUAUCAUCCUCCUCUCUACCUCCACAGGUGUAUUCUUCCCUGUGUUUCAGCUUUGGGCUUGCCCAUAUAACUUGCUUUGACCAAUGGGCUGUUGGUAGAUAUGCCAACAGCAAGAGCUUGAAAAGUGCUUGUGCAAUUGUCUUCUUGUGCCUCUGUCAUUGCCAUAAAAAGAGAUUCCUCCGUGUAUCUGUCUGCCCCAGAAUAAAGAUAAGUGGAGCCAACCGGAGCCAAGCCUGCAGCUCAAAGCAGAGCCAUCCAACUGAGUCUAAAUUGGCCAACUCCCACCACCACGCUGACCCAUGAAAAAUAAGCACUUAUUGUUGAAUGGCACUGAGAUCUUAUGGUUGCACAGUAAUAACUGACUAAACAUGAGUAUUAUGUGGUCAAUAGUCCAGGGUCUGAGGAUGGUUGAUUUCAUUUUUGCUUUGUUUCCUGAGCUGGCUUUCCUAU